rnacentral:rRNA from 1 species
AUGGAAGAAGGAACUGAUAAAACUGUGAGUUCAUUGGAUGAAAAAGAUGAUGAGGAGAGCGAAGAACAAAAGGAGGAAGAGCGGAUUAGCUACCCGUGCCCACCUUCUAAUGAGAGUAACUCUACAACUCAUACAUCAUUUAAUGCCCCUUCGUUCUUACCGAAGGAUGGAUGCUAUGAUAAUUGCUAUGAUCCCGUUGAUUCAUUUGAAAUAUCCCUUUUUGAUGAACUUGAUGCUUGUUAUGCUUGUGGCCAAGAUGCCAAUAUGAAUUAUGCUUAUGGAGAUGAACUUGCUAUAGUUCCUUAUGUUAAGAAUGACAUUGUUGCUAUUGCACCCACACAUGAUAGUCCUAUUAUCUUUUUGAAUUCUCCCAACUACACUAUAUCGGAGAAGUUUGCUCUUAUUAAGGAUUAUAUUGAUGGGUUGCCUUUUACCGUUGCACAUGAUAAUUUUGAUGAAUGUAAUAUGCAUGUGCUUGCUGCUCCUACUUGCAAUUAUUAUGAGAGAUGA